UCCCUGGUGGCUCAGAUGGUAAAGAAUCUGCCUGCAAUGCAGGAUACCUGGGUUUGAUCCCUGGUUUGGGAA
rnacentral:tRNA from 1 species